rfam:Oryza glumipatula chromosome 12, whole genome shotgun sequence.
AAUAAGUGCAGUUUUACACUAUUUAUGUCUAACGUUUGACCGUUUGUUUUAUUUGAAAAUUUUUUAUAAUUAAUAUUUUUAUUGUUAUUAGAUGAUAAAACUUGAAUAGUACUUUAUGUGCGACUAACUUUUUUUUUAAUUUUCUUAUAAAUUUUUCAAAUAAGACGGAUAAUCAAAUGUUGUACAUACAUUUCCACGACUGCAGAUGGA